UGGACACUGUGCCUAACUGAUUGUGUUCAA
rnacentral:piRNA from 1 species